GGCUCAGUGGUUGAAUACCAAGAGGUCCCGGUUCCAUUUCGGUGAAGGGCACAUGCCCGGAUUGUAGGCUCAAUCCCCAGUAGGAGGUGUGCAGGAGGCAGCCAGUCAAUG